AGUGGGCCUAUAUUGACACAUGGCACUCAGUUAUUGUCCACAUGGGCGCCACGUCAUCAGUUAACAUAAUUUCUAACGGAAAACUUAACGGAUGUAUGAAACUGUUCCAAAAUUAAGACUUGAGGAAUGACUCUAAGAUGAAAAAAAAAAACUUCAUGUACCAAAUGUUGAAAAUCACAAAACUUUAUGAUAGUAAACAGAGAUUAACCCAAUAAAUUAAUAUGAAUAUGUAUCAUAUAUAAGCUGUAUAGUGGAUAACCUCAUGACCAAAAUAGAAAAUAGUUGUAUUGUGCUUGCCAAACAUGUAUGACUACAAACUAGUUGUAUUGUGCUUGCUAGAUAUUUCCUUAUUGGUUAUGUAACAAUAAGAAGUAAUGCAUGUAUCUGAAAACCAUACUUACCUGUUAUACCCACCCCUGCAUGUUUCAAGCCUAUAAAUACAAUGUCAUAGGAACGACAAUGUCAAUCAAUUUAAAGCUAUCUCUAAGAUUUCUACUUCUUUAGCAUAGUAGAUGGCUAAAGUAUCGUCAUUCCUCAAUCUCCUGAUCAUUCUUGUUCUUCUUGGAUCAGGUAAUCUCCUAAUGUCUUGUUGCAAAAUUUCAAUGUGUAAUUUGUAAGAAAAUUGAUGUAUGGGGUAGGAUAAUACGUGAUAAUAAUAAAGUAUAAAGCUCAUAUGUUUUUUUUUUUUUUAAAGAAUCUCUACCUAAUUUGUAAAUUUAUUAUGCAAAAUUUAAUAUAUUCUAAAUUCAUUUGUGUAGGUAUUAAUAUUGUGGCUAUGCAACCAAACGUGAUGUGCAAAGUGGUGAUAUCAGAUUCCCCGUGCAAUAAGUCAGGCUACGACAAACCGUGCAUGGAUAAAUGUCUUGCCAUAGAUCCCCAAGGCAUUGGAAGUUGCGAAAGUGCCCCCGGCCCCCAGAAGUUUUUUUGCUUAUGCACAUAUCCAUGCUAGACGGUCAUGGAAAUGGAAUAUCAAAUAUGAACCACAACGAAUAAAACAAAAUAAAUUGAAUUGCUUUUCACAAUAUCCAUCGUUGAUCUCUCUAAUGUUCUAAUUCAAGUUUCACAUAAAGAAAAAAUCCAUCUUUCAUAUAUAUAUAUAUACACAUAUAAUUGCAGUUUAACUAAUUAAAUUUAUAACGCAAUGUAGUAUCACAAUGAUAUAGAAACUCUAUAUUUCACCUUUCGGUGUUAUGAAAAGUCAUAGCACAUAUAUAUAUAUAUAUAUAUAUAUAUAUAUAUAUAUAUAUAUAUAUACAUAUAAUUGCAGUUUAACUAAUUAAAUUUAUAACGCAAUGUAGUAUCACAAUGAUAUAGAAACUCUAUAUUUCACCUUUCGGUGUUAUGAAAAGUCAUAGCACAUUAUAUAUAUAUAUAUAUACAUAUAAUUGCAGUUUAACUAAUUAAAUUUAUAACGCAAUGUAGUAUCACAAUGAUAUAGAAACUCUAUAUUUCACCUUUCGGUGUUAUGAAAAGUCAUAGCACAUUAUUUCAAAGCUUGAUCCGAUAGAAAUUUAGCAUAAAAACUUAAUACAAAUAUCACAACAUAACUACUACAAAAAACACUUUGCGCGAUGAAAUAAGUUUGUUACGCAAAGUAUAAUUUCAUCGCUCAAUAUCUUGUGCGAUGAAAUUUUUGUCGCGCAUAGUUCGUCGCGCAAAGCUCUUGAAGAUAGGUUUUGCGUGAGAAAAUUAAUCUUCGUCGUGCAAAGUUUUUUUGGUUUUUAAUUUUUUUAAUUUAAUUAAAGUAAUUUAAUAUUUUGCGCGACAAAAUUAAUUGUUUGUGCAAUGAAACAUUUUGUCGUGAAAGGCUUUAAUUGUUUGUGCGACGAAAUAUUUGGUAGAAAGAUUUUCCGAAUUUUUACUUUUUUAAUUUAAUUUAAUUGUAUGACUUUAUUUUUUAAUUCAAAUUGACAUAUUCAAAAUAAAAUUACAUAUGAAAAAUAGUGAUCAAAUUAUCCAAUAUAUGUAAUAUAUUUAAAAUGUACACAUAAAUUAACAAAGUAUAGUAAUAAAAUCCUAAUACAAGUCUAUUGUGGUGGUAGUGGCGGGGGAUGCAGUCCAAUAGCGUCAUAAUCCUCAACUUUCGUCGUCAAAUAACCAAAAAAAACAAACAUGAAAUAAUAUCAAACUCCACCCCUCACGACGAUUUCCUAUGAAAAACCAAACAUGGUCAACUAACCAAAAAACAACAUAAAAUAAUACCAAAAAAUUGGCAUAAACUCCCCUAAAAUUGGCAUACCCCUAAUCCAACCCCAAACUCCACCCCUCACCCUAUACUCGACCCCAAACCCAAAAUUAACUCCAAGACACAUAUUAAUGAAGAAAAAAAAUUAAAUUUGGGGAGAAAAUAAUUUUGGCAAGAUGGAGAGUGAGUGAGAAAGGGAGAGAGGAGAGAGGAGUGAGUAUGAGAGAAUUAAAGGAGAUAGUGAGAGAGAGAUGAGAGAGUGAGUGAGAGUGAGAGAUAGAGGAGAGAUUGAGUGAAACGAGUGAGUGAGAGAGAGAGGGUCGGAUUUGGGGAGAGAAAAGGAGAAAAGAAAGGUAAGAGAAUAGGUCUAGAGAGACAUUGAGAAAAUUGUGGAGGAGUUAUUUUUGUUUUAAAAACUGUAUCACAUUGCACGAUGAACUAUUAGUCACGCAAAGUCUUAAAAAAAAAUUUCCGCAUCCCAUUUUUUGGCAACUGCCCAUAUUUUUAGGGUUUUCAGUUU
rnacentral:lncRNA from 1 species